rnacentral:tRNA from 1 species
UAGAUAAUAGCAUAUUUAAUGUGUUUUACUUUUAAUAGAAUGAUAGAUUUAUAAAUUUUUAUCUAG